rnacentral:rRNA from 1 species
GAUGAACGCUGGCGGCGUGCCUAAUACAUGCAAGUCGAGCGAACAGACGAGGAGCUUGCUCCUCUGACGUUAGCGGCGGACGGGUGAGUAACACGUGGAUAACCUACCUAUAAGACUGGGAUAACUUCGGGAAACCGGAGCUAAUACCGGAUAAUAUAUUGAACCGCAUGGUUCAAUAGUGAAAGACGGUUUUGCUGUCACUUAUAGAUGGAUCCGCGCCGCAUUAGCUAGUUGGUAAGGUAACGGCUUACCAAGGCAACGAUGCGUAGCCGACCUGAGAGGGUGAUCGGCCACACUGGAACUGAGACACGGUCCAGACUCCGACGGGAGGCAGCAGUAGGGAAGCUUCCGAAAUGGGCGAAAGCCUGACGGAGCAACGCCGCGUGAGUGAUGAAGGUCUUCGGAUCGUAAAACUCUGUUAUUAGGGAAGAACAAAUGUGUAAGUAACUAUGCACGUCUUGACGGUACCUAAUCAGAAAGCCACGGCUAACUACGUG